rnacentral:rRNA from 1 species
UACGUAGGGGGCUAGCGUUGUCCGGAUUUAUUGGGCGUAAAGAGCGUGUAGGCGGCCAGGUAGGUCUGGUGUGAAAACUCGAGGCUUAACCUCGAGAUGUCAUCGGAAACCAUCUGGCUAGAGUCCGGAAGAGGAGAGUGGAAUUCCUGGUGUAGCGGUGAAAUGCGCAGAUAUCAGGAGGAACACCGAUGGCGAAGGCAGCUCGCUGGGACGGUACUGACGCUGAGGUGCGAAAGCGUGGGGAGCAAACAGG